rnacentral:rRNA from 1 species
AGGCAGCAGUGAGGAAUAUUGGUCAAUGGAGGGAACUCUGAACCAGCCAUCCCGCGUGUAGGAAGACGGCCUUAUGGGGUUGUAAACUACUUUUAUACAGGAAGAAACGUACCCUCGUGAGGGUGCCUGACGGUACUGUAGGAAUAAGCACCGGCUAACUCCGUGCCAGCAGCCGCGGUAAUACGGAGGGGUGCGAGCGUUAUCCGGAUUUAUUGGGUUUAAAGGGUCCGUAGGCGGAUUAAUAAGUCAGUGGUGAAAUCCCAUCGCUUAACGAUGGAACUGCCAUUGAUACUGUUAGUCUUGAAUGAGGGUGCAGUGGUUGGAAUGUGUAGUGUAGCGGUGAAAUGCAUAGAUAUUACACAGAACACCGAUUGCGAAGGCAGAUCACUAACCCCUAAAUUGACGCUGAGGGACGAAAGCGUGGGGAGCGAACAGGAUUAGAUACCCCUGGUAG